GACAGAGGGUGCAAACGUUGUUCGGAAUUACUGGGCGUAAAGCGUGUGUAGGCGGCCAUGUAAGUCGGGUGCGAAAGCCCCGGGCUUAACCCGGGAAGUGCACUCGAUACUGCGUGGCUCGAGUAUCGGAGAGGUUGGUGGAAUUCUCGGUGUAGAGGUGAAAUUCGUAGAUAUCGAGAGGAACACCGGUGGCGAAGGCGGCCAACUGGACGAAUACUGACGCUGAGACACGAAAGCGUGGGGAGCAAACAGG
rnacentral:rRNA from 1 species